AAGGCGUGCGAUACAGGGUGACAGCCCCGUACACAAAAAUGCACAUAUUGUGAGCUCGAUGAGUAGGGCGGGACACGUGGUAUCCUGUCUGAAUAUGGGGGGACCAUCCUCCAAGGCUAAAUACUCCUGACUGACCGAUAGUGAACCAGUACCGUGAGGGAAAGGCGAAAAGAACCCCGGCGAGGGGAGUGAAAAAGAACCUGAAACCGUGUACGUACAAGCAGUGGGAGCACGCUUAGGCGUGUGACUGCGUACCUUUUGUAUAAUGGGUCAGCGACUUAUAUUCUGUAGCAAGGUUAACCGAAUAGGGGAGCCGAAGGGAAACCGAGUCUUAACUGGGCGUUAAGUUGCAGGGUAUAGACCCGAAACCCGGUGAUCUAGCCAUGGGCAGGUUGAAGGUUGGGUAACACUAACUGGAGGACCGAACCGACUAAUGUUGAAAAAUUAGCGGAUGACUUGUGGCUGGGGGUGAAAGGCCAAUCAAACCGGGAGAUAGCUGGUUCUCCCCGAAAGCUAUUUAGGUAGCGCCUCGUGAAUUCAUCUCCGGGGGUAGAGCACUGUUUCGGCAAGGGGGUCAUCCCGACUUACCAACCCGAUGCAAACUGCGAAUACCGGAGAAUGUUAUCACGGGAGACACACGGCGGGUGCUAACGUCCGUCGUGAAGAGGGAAACAACCCAGACCGCCAGCUAAGGUCCCAAAGUCAUGGUUAAGUGGGAAACGAUGUGGGAAGGCCCAGACAGCCAGGAUGUUGGCUUAGAAGCAGCCAUCAUUUAAAGAAAGCGUAAUAGCUCACUGGUCGAGUCGGCCUGCGCGGAAGAUGUAACGGGGCUAAACCAUG
rnacentral:rRNA from 1 species